rnacentral:tRNA from 1 species
GGAGGUUUAGCUCAGUUGGGAGAGCGUCUGUCUUACAAACAGAGGGUCAGCGGUUCGAGCCCGUUAACCUCCACCA